UCACCAAACACGGCGAUUGUCUCACCAGACACGGCGCUGCCGCUCCCUCCUCCGAUUCUACCGGCGAAUGCGGUCUUCCCCACCUCCUCAAUCCGUCUGCCACGCCGCCGUCGUGAGGGGUUUCUCCCUCAGCGCUCGCCUCCUCAAUCUGUCUACCACCGCGGCGGUUGUUGGCGCCGGCGGAAUGUGAUGUCUGCUGUCCGGGAAGCGGCGGCGCUGACUGAGGGGAGAGGCGGUUGUUUCGGGAUCCAAGUCCAAAGCCCACUCCGCCCGACGAUGGAUCUCCGUUCGUUGCGCCGGUUUGGUCGGGGUUCGCCGACGGCAUGAUUUUCAGCCGUGUGGCCUCCUGUUUCACCCAGCCGUACGCGACGUCGACCGGAUGCGUCGGUAGGUAAUGGGUCUGCCUUGGCAGCGGUCGAUCUCGACCUACACACCGUGCAAGGUCCUCCAGUAGGUUUCCAGAUCCGUGUCCCCUUGGACAAUCCGACUGACUUUGUCCUCCAAGUCAUAUAUCAGAUACGGGUCCGACAUACUCUGGUACGUCGCGGCGAAGCUGGGUUUACCGUCUUUUUCCUCUCCUAACAUUCUGCAGGUCCGGGGUUGUCCGUCGCCUUCUGGUCGGGACAAGGUAUAUUUGGGUUGUGAUGAAUUAUUUUCUGAGCCUCUGAUUAUCCUGCUCUGAAGCCAUGUUGAAUUUGGGAUCAUAUUCAUUCAACUUGUUCAAUUUUACAGAGGCAUAUACACGGUAUUAAGUAGUAGAAGAAAAACUAAACAUGGUAAAGAUUUGCCCUAAUUAAUUUCCCCUUCUCCACGGCAAUUCCCUAAUCUUAGGGAUCUUUCCUUGAUUUUAUUUUAUUUACUUUCCAACAGUUUAUACUAGUAUAAAUUUGAGAUUAUUUGCAUCCAUAUAUAGUUAUUCAAGACAAACGAACCACAAUAGGGCUCCGAACAGAAUGAGUGGGAGAGGUCCAUUUCAAGAAUCCUUGGAUGAAAUCGGUCUUUGGAGUGAGUCGGCUGAAUGUAACCUUGUACUGCAGUUUCUGUUUUGUCUCGGAGAAGUUGAGCGUAGUGGGCUCCACACGAACAUCAACUCCAAUAGGUGCGGUAAUCUCCACCUCGUAUGACAAGUCUGGGUCGCCUACGUUUGUGACAGUCUUGGUGUAAACUUGGGAAGUUCAUUUGCCACUGAAAAUGAUAGAGAAUGAAGGAUAGUUUAGCUCUGCUUCCGCUAUCUUCGAUUCGACUGCACAAUUCACCCUCCUAUGUAGAAACAACUCCACUUGGUGGUCCGUGUAGCUGAGACUGCACAAGUAAGAAAGGUAGUCUUGGGGCUGGAUGUCGUAGACAAGUCCGGGAUCUUUAGCUCUUGAUGGAUUCACAUGACCUGAUCCCGUGGCAAAGAGGUCGGCCGGGAUGAACCUCUCGUCCUCAAUUGGAUUACCAGCGAGGUUCACAUCGUCUGUAGUGGUCAUAAUGGCAGACUUGAUUGCAGCAGGAGACCAAUCGAGAUGCACGCUCUUGAGCAGAGCCGCCACACCGCUCAGGUGCGGGCACGCUAUUGAGGUACCAGAAUCUAUUUUCCAUUCGAUGGAAGUGUCACGUGAUGCUGCAAGAAUAUUGACUCUAGGGCCUAAAAUGUCGGGUUUCCAAGGGUUGGUAUGCUAGGACCCCUGGAAGAAAAUGAAGCGAUGACUGGUGCACGCUCAUCAACAAUCACAGUGAGUGCACUGUGUGAAUAUUCAUCAAACAUGUCAAUUCAGUUUCAUAUCAAUUUUAAUUUUACCAAAUAUAGGAUUUGGAAUUAAAUUGUCCUUCCAAUUCCGUUCUAUAGAAUUCUAAUUCCAAUUCAUUUCCAAUUCCGUGUACUGAACGGACCCUAAGUGUUUGUACCAUAAAAUUAAGUAGUAUGUCUGCAGAAUGUUUUGAAAAAAAUGUAAAAUUACCCUCUCUCCAUCCCAUCAUAUGUUCAAUUUUUACUAUUUCACCUAUUU